UACAGAGGGGGCAAGCGUUGUUCGGAAUUACUGGGCGUAAAGGGCGCGUAGGCGGCCGCCUAAGUCAGACGUGAAAUCCCUCGGCUCAACCGGGGAACUGCGUCUGAUACUGGGUGGCUUGAAUCCGGGAGAGGGAUGCGGAAUUCCAGGUGUAGCGGUGAAAUGCGUAGAUAUCUGGAGGAACACCGGUGGCGAAGGCGGCAUCCUGGACCAAUUCUGACGCUGAGUGAGCGAAAGCCAGGGGAGCAAACGGG
rnacentral:rRNA from 1 species